AGNNUCGAGGCUUACACAUGCAGUCGAGGGGUAACAGAUCUUCCGGAUGCUGACGACCGGCGAACGGGUGAGUAACACGUAUGCAACUUACCCAUAACUCGGGAAUAGCCCAAAGAAAUUUGGAUUAAUACCCAAUAAUACAGGCGUACCGCAUGGUAUUCUUCGUUAAAGAAUAAUCGGUUAUGGAUAGGCAUGCGUUCUAUUAGGUAGUUGGUGAGGUAACGGCUCACCAAGCCGACGAUGGAUAGGGGAACUGAGAGGUUGUCCCCCCACACUGGUACUGAGACACGGACCAGACUCCUACGGGAGGCAGCAGUGAGGAAUAUUGGUCAAUGGACGAAAGUCUGAACCAGCCAAAUCGCGUGAAGGAAGAAGGUAUUAUGUAUCGUAAACUUCUUUUGUAAGAGAGUAAAGUGCACUACGUGUAGUGUAUUGCAAGUACCUUACGAAUAAGCAUCGGCUAAUUCCGUGCCAGCAGCCGCGGUAAUACGGAAGAUGCAAGUGUUAUCCGGAUUUAUUGGGUUUAAAGGGUGCGUAGGUGGUCUAAUAAGUCAGUGGUGAAAUCUCUUUGCUUAACAAGGAAAUUGCCAUUGAAACUGUUAGACUUGAGAAUGGACGAGGUAGGCGGAAUUCGUAGUGUAGCGGUGAAAUGCAUAGAUAUUACGAAGAACUCCAAUAGUGUAGACUGCUUACCAGACCAUAUCUGACACUAAGGCACGAAAGUGUGGGUAUCAAACAGGAUUAGAUACCCUGGUAGUCCACACAGUAAACGAUGAAUACUAACUGUUUGCGAUAUACAGCAAGUGGUCGAGCGAAAGCGUUAAGUAUUCCACCUGGGAAGUAUGCCGGCACGGUGAAACUCAAGGAAUUGACGGGGGCCCGCACAAGCGGAGGAACAUGUGGUUUAAUUCGAUAAUACGCGAGGAACCUUACCCGGGCUCGAACGAUAUUUGAAUACAUCCGAAAGAUGUAGCUACAUAGCAAAUAC
rnacentral:rRNA from 1 species